UUACUAUUCAUAUCUGAAGUUGACACUAUGAAAAUAUAAAUGAAAAUUGUGACGUUAAAAUUCAGAUCUAUAAAUUUAAAUAUAUAAAUUUUUAAAUUUAAUCUUGAGUACUUUUAUGUUUACAUUAUGGGACACGUAUUGACUUUAUUAGUCAUUCUACUAUUUCCAACACUUUGCAUGGCCAUUAGAUGCGAAACUUGUUUUUUUUGCGACGGAUCAGAUUAUCGCGUUACUGACCACUGUGAUGUAUGCACCUACGUAGGAUAUGUGGGACAUGACAAUAAAGAAUAUAGUAUUAAAAAACUAUGUGAUCAAAAAUGUGAUUUCCUUCCCGCACUUACAGAACAACGUCUCAUCGAAACAAAUGGAUAUUGUUACGAUUGUUAUACUCACCUUUGCAACACAGGUCCCCGCAGAAGUAACGUUCUACAAAUCACCAAUAGUCGUCUUAUUAUAGUUAUUUUCGUAUUCAUCCUAUUCUGUUUAUGAAAUGGAAAUGUAGGUAUAUGAACAAAAAUUGAACAGUUUAAAUAAAUUUAAUGUAUAAAUUUAAUAAACAUGUUAAAGUAA